AUACGAAAGGGGCUAGCGUUGUUCGGAAUCACUGGGCGUAAAGCGUACGUAGGCGGACUGGAAAGUUAGAUGUGAAAGCCUAGGGCUCAACCCUGGAACUGCAUUUAAAACUCCCAGUCUGGAGUCCGGUAGGGGAGCAUGGAAUUCCUAGUGUAGAGGUGAAAUUCGUAGAUAUUAGGAGGAACACCAGUGGCGAAGGCGAUGCUCUGGGCCGGUACUGACGCUAAGGUACGAAAGCGUGGGGAGCAAACAGGAUUAGAAACCCCAGUAGUCC
rnacentral:rRNA from 1 species